rnacentral:rRNA from 1 species
GGAUGCGAUCAUACCAGCACUAAAGCACCGGAUCCCAACAGAACUCCGAAGUUAAGCGUGCUUGGGCGAAAGUAGUACUAGGAUGGGUGACCUCCUGGGAAGUCCUCGUGUUGCAUCCC